rnacentral:rRNA from 1 species
AUUGAACGCUGGCGGCAGGCCUAACACAUGCAAGUCGAACGAGUGGCGGACGGGUGAGUAAUGUCUGGGAAACUGCCCGAUGGAGGGGAUUACUUAUGGGAAAGGGUAACUAUUACGGAAUACAUUCGGAUGUCCCAGGAUGGGAUUAGCUAGUAGGGGGGGUAACGGCUAACCUAGGCGACGAUCCAUAGCUGGUUUGAGAGGAUGACCAGCCACACUGGAACUGAGACACGGUCCAGACUCCUACGGGAGGCAGCAGUGGGGAAUAUUGCACAAUGGGCGCAAGCCUGAUGCAGCCAUGCCGCGUGUAUGAAGAAGGCCUUCGGGUUGUAAAGUACUUUCAGCGAGGAGGCGUUACUCGCAGAAGAAGCACCGGCUAACUCCGUGCCAGCAGCCGCGGUAAUAC